rfam:Gossypium arboreum cultivar AKA8401 contig_30490_1, whole genome shotgun sequence.
UGUUAAAAUUUUCAUCAAUUUCUAUUGUUAAAAUCUGGUGUUAUUGACAAAAUAACCAAGAACUACAUGUGGCAUGCCAUAUAUACCUCAUGCUAAUGUACAAAGACUAAUUUUUAAGAGUAAAAAUACAUGAAAUUUUUAACA